AACGAACGCUGGCGGCAUGCCUAACACAUGCAAGUCGAACGAGACCUUCGGGUCUAGUGGCGCACGGGUGCGUAACGCGUGGGAACCUGCCCUUAGGUUCGGAAUAACUCCCCGAAAGGGGUGCUAAUACCGGAUAAUGUCUCCGGACCAAAGAUCUAUCGCCUUUGGAUGGGCCCGCGUUGGAUUAGCUAGUUGGUAGGGUAAAAGCCUACCAAGGCGACGAUCCAUAGCUGGUCUGAGAGGAUGAUCAGCCACACUGGGACUGAGGCACGGCCCAGACUCCUACGGGAGGCAGCAGUGGGGAAUAUUGGACGAUGGGCGAAAGCCUGAUCCAGCAAUGCCGCGUGAGUGAUGAAGGCCUUAGGGUUGUAAAGCUCUUUUACCCGGGAUGAUAAUGACGGUACCGGGAGAAUAAGCUCCGGCUAACUCCGUG
rnacentral:rRNA from 1 species